GAGGCUGGGUGCCAUGUAACAGGGAGCUGCUGGAUGUGGGGCAGAGGCGGGCUGUGGGCUCAGCCUGGAGGCCUCAGCAAAGAGCAGGGAGUUUUUUCCUUUUAUAUGAGGGAGGGUCACAGAAUCCCAGCUUGCUUGGCUCCGCUGACACCUCCCAGCCCCCUGCCUGUGGGUCUGGCUGCCCCCCACUCUCUCGUGCUGCCCAGGCUGAUUUGUGACCAGACUCAGAGCCGUAUCCUCUCCCAUGCAGCCCGAUUUUAGGACCCCAAGCACCACAGAGCCGCAUUUUGGCCCCACAACAGCGGCGUUUCCUGCAUCUCUGUGCCACUGACAGCUUCUCCCUCUCCUCUCUUACAGAUGCGUCUCUCGGCGCUGCCUGCUGGCCCGGCUCGGCCCCUCGGUGCACCACGUCGUCCCCAUGGCCACCACAGCCAAGGAGGAGAUGGCUCGUUUCUGGGA